rnacentral:rRNA from 2 species
CUUGAGCCGUGGCUUUCGGAGCUAACGCGUUAAGUAGACCGCCUGGGGAGUACGGUCGCAAGAUUAAAACUCAAAUGAAUUGACGGGGGCCCGCACAAGCGGUGGAGCAUGUGGUUUAAUUCGAUGCAACGCGAAGAACCUUACCUACUCUUGACAUCCAGAGAAGCCAGCGGAGACGCAGGUGUGCCUUCGGGAGCUCUGAGACAGGUGCUGCAUGGCUGUCGUCAGCUCGUGUCGUGAGAUGUUGGGUUAA